rnacentral:rRNA from 1 species
CCUACGGGAGGCAGCAGUGAGGAAUCUUGGUCAAUGGACGAGAGUCUGACCCAGCCACGUCGCGUGAAGGAUGACUGCCCUAUGGGUUGUACACUUUUUUUAUAUGGGAAUAAAAUGUUCCACGUGUGGGUUCUUGUAUGUACCAUAUGAAUAAGGAUCGGCUAACUCCGUGCCAGCAGCCGCGGUAAUACGGAGGAUCCGAGCGUUAUCCGGAUUUAUUGGGUUUAACGGGAGCGUAGGUGGAUUGUUAAGUCAGUUGUGAAAGUCUGCGGCUCAACCGUAAAAUUGCAGUUGAAACUGGCAGUCUUGAGUACAGUAGAGGUGAGCGGAAUUCGUGGUGUAGCGGUGAAAUGCGUAGAUAUCACGAAGAACUCCGAUGGCGAAGGCAGCUCACUGGACUGCAACUGACACUGAGGCUCGAAAGUGUGGGUAUCAAACAGGAUUAGAUACCCGGGUAGUC